AAUGACACUUCCUGUGUUGCAUCAUAAUAAGUCCCCACAGCAGCCGCUUUGGUAAUACUGACUCCCUCCAUUUUCUUUCUACUACUUUUUAAGCUAUGUAAAGUUGCGCUUUCACGAAAAGCAUCCAGUUAGCGUCGCUUCAGCAUCAAUCUCGCGCCCAACACUGGAUUAGUCAUGAAGGAAAUGAAGCACUUCUGACCCGUCGUCUCAGUCACCAUUACAAGCUACAAAGACUCUUCAUGAUAAAUCACAGAGGUGAGGGGAAGAGGUGGUUACAAGAACAACAUCACCAGUAUCUUUCAAAUACAUUAAGAGCUGAAGCUUGUGUCACAUAAUGAGUCAGCAGGGGACCUUCUGCAAUCUCUUUGAGGCCCAGGAAUGGGGCAGGAGCUCUGUCUGCCCCUCCUCUGAGCUGGAACCUCCCUUGGCCAGGAGUCAGGCCCUGCUGCCCCAGCCACUGGGGCCCAAGAUGUCCCACAGCCUCGCCGGAAAUGUCUGAGACUCGGGUCCCAUCCAAAGCUCACUUUGCCCGCAGCGGGUCUGGGGACGGAGCAACCCUUAAGGAUGCAUCCACGGGAGGGAAGGAUCGUCGGCGUUCACAUCUCUGGCUCCCCAAUCCAGCUUCACAAAAGCUAAGCCUGUCUGCCUGCCCCUCUCUCUGAGGACCCCGUGGCGGGAGAAGCCAAACCGAGGCACCGGAGGCUUCUGCCGAUCUAGGAGCAAGCCGGUUAAAAGCCACGGUCUGCAUGAGGUUGCAGGUGUCCUGGCAGCCUGGGUUCCCUUCCUGGGUUGGUGUUGGGGCUAAUUAAGGGGUUAACAUAGGCCACAUAAAAAUAGUUUUAUCGGUAGAAUAAAUACAUUUUUCUUUUUUAA